CCCUUAGAUGUCCUGGGCCGCACGCGCGUUACACUGAUGCAUUCAACGAGCUUAUAACCUUGGCCGAGAGGCCUGGGCAAUCUUGUUAACGUGCAUCGUGAUAGGGAUAGAUUAUUGAAAUUAUUAAUCUUGAACGAGGAAUUCCUAGUAAACGCAGAUCAUCAAUCUGCAUUGAUUACGUCCCUGCCCUUUGUACACACCGCCCGUCGCACCUACCGAUUGGAUGGUCCGGUGAAGCCUCGGGAUUGUGGUUCUUGCCGCUUUAUUGUGGCGUGACCGCGAGAACUUGUCUAACCUUAUCAUCUAGAGGAAGGUGAAGUCGUAACA
rnacentral:rRNA from 1 species